rnacentral:rRNA from 1 species
UACGUAGGGUGCAAGCGUUGCCCGGAUUUAUUGGGCGUAAAGGGCGCGUAGGCGGCUCUGCAAGUCAGAGGUGAAAGCCCGGGGCUCAACCCCGGAAUUGCCUUUGAGACUGCAUCGCUAGAAUUGUGGAGAGGUAAGUGGAAUUCCGAGUGUAGAGGUGAAAUUCGUAGAUAUUCGGAAGAACACCAGUGGCGAAGGCGACUUACUGGACACAUAUUGACGCUGAGGUGCGAAAGCGUGGGGAGCAAACAGG